rnacentral:rRNA from 1 species
UCGAUUUGGAGUUUGUUGCCUAGAGUGAUGGGCUCCGAAGCUAACGCGAUAAAUCGACCGCCUGGGGAGUACGGCCGCAAGGUUAAAACUCAAAUGAAUUGACGGGGGCCCGCACAAGCGGUGGAGCAUGUGGUUUAAUUCGAUGCAACGCGAAGAACCUUACCUGGUCUUGACAUCCACAGAAUCUUGCAGAGAUGUGAGAGUGCCUUCGGGAACUGUGAGACAGGUGCUGCAUGGCUGUCGUCAGCUCGUGUUGUGAAAUGUUGGGUUAAGUCCCGCAACGAGCGCAACCCUUAUCCUUUGUUGCCAUCGGUUCGGCCGGGAACUCAAAGGAGACUGCCGUUGAUAAAGCGGAGGAAGGUGGGGACGACGUCAAGUCAUCAUGGCCCUUACGACCAGGGCUACACACGUGCUACAAUGGCGUAUACAAAGGGAGGCGACCUCGCGAGAGCAAGCGGACCUCAUAAAGUACGUCUAAGUCCGGAUUGGAGUCUGCAACUCGACUCCAUGAAGUCGGAAUCGCUAGUAAUCGUGAAUCA